CCUACGGGUGGCAGCAGUGAGGAAUAUUGGUCAAUGGGCGCGAGCCUGAACCAGCCAAGUCGCGUGAGGGAAGACGGUCCUAUGGAUUGUAAACCUCUUUUGUCGGGGAGCAAAAGACGCCACGCGUGGCGUUCCGAGAGUACCCGAAGAAAAAGCAUCGGCUAACUCCGUGCCAGCAGCCGCGGUAAUACGGAGGAUGCGAGCGUUAUCCGGAUUUAUUGGGUUUAAAGGGUGCGCAGGCGGAAGAUCAAGUCAGCGGUAAAAUUGAGAGGCUCAACCUCUUCGAGUCGUUGAAACGGGUUUUGUGGAGGGAGCGAGAAGUAGGCGGAAUGCGUGGUG
rnacentral:rRNA from 1 species